rnacentral:rRNA from 1 species
GACGAACGCUGGCGGCGUGCCUAAUACAUGCAAGUCGAGCGGACUACACCUUCGGGUGUGCUUAGCGGCGAACGGGUGAGUAACACGUGGGCAACCUGCCCUGUACUCUGGGAUAACUCCGGGAAACCGGGGCUAAUACCGGAUAUGCUAACAAAGACGCAUGUUUUUGUUAGUAAAGCUCCGGCGGUAUAGGAUGGGCCCGCGGACCAUUAGCUGGUUGGUAGGGUAACGGCCUACCAAGGCAACGAUGGAUAGCCGACCUGAGAGGGUGAUCGGCCACACUGGAACUGAGACACGGUCCAGACUCCUACGGGAGGCAGCAGUGGGGAAUAUUGCGCAAUGGGGGAAACCCUGACGCAGCAACGCCGCGUGGAGGAAGAAGGUCUUCGGAUUGUAAACUCCUGUCUUUUGGGACGAAUAAUGACGGUACCAAAGGAGGAAGCCACGGCUAACUACGUG